GAUGAAGAACGUAGCGAAAUGCGAUAUGUAAUGUGAAUUGCAGAAUUCAGUGAAUCAUCGAAUCUUUGAACGCACAUUGCGCCCGCCAGUAUUCUGGCGGGCAUGCCUGUUCGAGCGUCAUUUCAACCAUCAAGCCCUGCUUGCGUUGGGGUCCUGCGGCUGCCCGCAGGCCCUGAAAACCAGUGGCGGGCUCGCUAGUCACACCGAGCGCAGUAAUACAUCUCGCUUUGGGCGUGCGGCGGGUUCUUGCCGUUAAACACCCCCUUUUUACCAAGGUUGACCUCGGAUCAGGUAGGAAUACCCGCUGAACUUAAGCAUAUCAAUAAGCGGAGGA
rnacentral:misc_RNA from 1 species